UUGAACGCUGGCGGCAUGCUUUACACAUGCAAGUCGAACGGCAGCACAGCAGAGGUAACUCUGUGGGUGGCGAGUGGCGAACGGGUAAGUAAUACAUCGGAACGUACCCUGUUGUGGGGGAUAACUACGCGAAAGCGUAGCUAAUACCGCAUACGCCCUGAGGGGGGAAAGCGGGGGGACCCUAAAUAGAGCGCACUGGGGAGUGCGUUGUAUUUAGGGCCUCGCGCAAUAGGAGCGGCCGAUGUCGGAUUAGCUAGUUGGUGAGGUAACGGCUUACCAAGGCGACGAUCUGUAGCGGGUCUGAGAGGAUGAUCCGCCACACUGGAACUGAGACACGGUCCAGACUCCUACGGGAGGCAGCAGUGGGGAAUUUUGGACAAUGGGCGCAAGCCUGAUCCAGCCAUGCCGCGUGAGUGAAGAAGGCCUUCGGGUUGUAAAGCUCUUUCGGCCGGGAAGAAAUCGCAUGGGUUAAUACCCUGUGUGGAUGACGGUACCGGAAUAAGAAGCACCGGCUAACUACGUG
rnacentral:rRNA from 1 species